GACGAACGCUGGCGGCGUGCCUAAUACGUGCAAGUCGAACGCUGAAGGAGGAGCUUGCUUCUCUGGAUGAGUUGCGAACGGGUGAGUAACGCGUAGGUAACCUGCCUGGUAGCGGGGGAUAACUAUUGGAAACGAUAGCUAAUACCGCAUAAUAGCAGUUGUUGCAUGACAACUGUUUGAAAGGUGCAAUUGCACCACUACCAGAUGGACCUGCGUUGUAUUAGCUAGUUGGUGGGGUAACGGCUCACCAAGGCGACGAUACAUAGCCGACCUGAGAGGGUGAUCGGCCACACUGGGACUGAGACACGGCCCAGACUCCUACGGGAGGCAGCAGUAGGGAAUCUUCGGCAAUGGACGGAAGUCUGACCGAGCAACGCCGCGUGAGUGAAGAAGGUUUUCGGAUCGUAAAGCUCGGUUGUAAGAGAAGAACGAGUGUGAGAGUGGAAAGUUCACACUGUGACGGUAUCUUACCAGAAAGGGACGGCUAACUACGUG
rnacentral:rRNA from 1 species